UACGAAGGGGGCUAGCGUUGCUCGGAAUGACUGGGCGUAAAGGGCGCGUAGGCGGAGAGCUUUGUCGGGCGUGAAAUUCCAGGGCUUAACCUUGGGGCUGCGUUCGAGACGGGUUUUCUUUGAGUGGGGAAGAGGGUCGUGGAAUUCCCAGUGUAGAGGUGAAAUUCGUAGAUAUUGGGAAGAACACCGGUGGCGAAGGCGGCGACCUGGUCCUUUUACUGAGCUGAGGCGCGAAAAGCGUGGGGGAGCAAAACAGG
rnacentral:rRNA from 1 species